CCCUACCAAGCAUGUUUUUGGUCUCCACUUGAGAAAGCCAUUAUAGGUGAAACGCGUUGUGGAUAUUUUAAUAUUUUAUUCUGUAUUCUUAAUAAAGGUAUUUUGGCUACUUUUAAUAUACCUUGAUUGUGCCAUUUUACUUUUUUAUUCAUCAUUUUAUUUAUUUUUGCUUGGUAUCCUGUUUUUUUAUCCUUCCUGCUGAGUAUUACUCCAAGACAUCCUAGGUGGGGAUUAUACCACUUACACCCAAGUUAUUGAGCAGUUUGUCUGCUCAAUCAUAUGUGAGUACCCAUUUUAUUUUCUUUACUCCUUAUAUACUAUUUUAUACAGUGAGCACUAUUAGUUGUCUCCUUUUUCUUUU